rnacentral:rRNA from 1 species
GACGAGCGCUGGCGGCGUGCCUAAUACAUGCAAGUUGAGCGCUGAAGGUUGGUACUUGUACCUACUGGAUGAGCAGCGAACGGGUGAGUAACGCGUGGGUAAUCUGCCUUUGAGCGUGGGACAACAUUUGGAAACGAAUGCUAAUACCGCAUAAAAACUUUAAACACAAGUUUUAAGUUUGAAAGAUGCAAUUGCAUCACUCAAAGAUGAUCCCGCGUUGUAUUAGCUAGUUGGUGAGGUAAAGGCUCACCAAGGCGAUGAUACAUAGCCGAACUGAGAGGGUGAUCGGCCACAUUGGGACUGAGACACGGCCCAAAAUCCUACGGGAGGCAGCAGGAGGGAAUCUUCGGCAAUGGACGAAAGUCUGACCGAGGAACGCCGCGGGAGGGAAGAAGGGUUUCGGAUCGUAAAAAUCUGUUGGUAGAGAAGAACGUUGGUGAGAGUGGAAAGCGCAUCAAGUGACGGUAACUACUCAGAAAGGGACGGCUAACUACGUG